CAACGAAUAUUCCGCAAUGGACGAAAGUCUGACGGAGCGACGCCGCGUGCAGGAUGAAGUCCUUCGGGAUGUAAACUGCUGUCAGGGGUGAGGAAUAAGUUGACCAACCCCAGAGGAAGCACCGGCUAACUCUGUGCCAGCAGCCGCGGUAAUACAGAGGGUGCAAACGUUGUUCGGAAUUACUGGGCAUAAAGCGCGCGUAGGCGGCGACGUAAGUGUAGGGUGAAAUCCCACGGCUCACCCGUGUGAAUUGCCCCGCAUACUGCGUUGCUCGAGUGUGGUAGGGGAGAGCGGAACUCCUGGUGGAGCGGUGAAAUGCGUAGAUAUCAGGAGGAACACCGGUGGCGUAGGCGGCUCUCUGGUCCAUAACUGACGCUGAAGUGCGAAAGCUAGGGUAGCGAACGGGAUUAGAUACCCUAGUAGUCCCUGAGCGGGCUGGCAAGGCGCAU
rnacentral:rRNA from 1 species